CAAACGGCCCUUUUAAGGGCCACUUCCAUUCUCAUGAAAGUGAUU
rfam:Octopus bimaculoides Scaffold13995_contig_68, whole genome shotgun sequence.